rnacentral:rRNA from 1 species
AAUGGGUAGCCAAGCCGCGAGGCGGAGCCAAUCCUGAAAGCAGGCCUCAGUUCAGAUUGCAGUCUGCAACUCGACUGCAUGAAGCCGGAGUUGCUAGUAACCGCAGGUCAGCAAUACUGCGGUGAAUUACCGGUUCCCGGGUCUU